rnacentral:lncRNA from 1 species
AAAGAAAGAGAGAAAGAAAGAAAAGGAAGGAAGAAAGAGGAAGGGAGGGAGGAAGGGAGGGAAAUUCUUGCCGACUAAAAGGCUAAAAUCUCUCCUGCUUUAUCUUCAGACGGGUUCGGCUGUUUCCCCUUGCUACAUGUAAGUUGCUAGGAUAGUACGAGUAUUUUCGAGAUGAAUUCUCUGCCAAAAGAUCUUGCCACUGAGUCAUCACCAUCCCCAUCUUUUCUCAAAACGUGAGCAAGUUUCGGCAGCGCUUCAUUCACGUUAGUAAACACCACCUAAGGAAAGAAGGCAUCGGCUCCGAGAGCCUGCGUCGGGCCUGCAAUUUAAAGUGUACGGAGUGCCCUGCUCGGGCCACGGUGCUGUUCGCCCCAGAGACAGACGGAAGCGCUUGCCUCCACAGGCGCACACACAUGUGCUCCCGUGGGUCACAUCCGGGGAAGGGGCCGACGAGAAGGAUUACUGGAAUUCCAGGGAGGAGGCAAUUCUCCCCCAAGGGCCCCCGGGUCGUCACAAAAGCUGCCAAAAGGUGGAAACAACCCUAGUGUCCAGCAAGAGAUGAAUAGACAAAAUGUGGUCUAUGCCUGCAAAUGGAAUGUUGUUCAGCCUUUAAAAGGACAGAAAUUCUGACAUAUGCCACAGCAUGUAUAAAGCUUGAAGACAUUAUGCUAAGUGAAAUAAGCUAGUCACAAAAAGACUGAUACAGUAUGAUUGCACUUAAAUGAGGUGUCUAGAGUAGGGAAAUUCAUAGAGACUGAAAGUGGAAUGGUCGGUUGCCAGGGGCUGGGGGGUUGGGGGAGGGAGGAAUGGAGAGUUACUAUAUAAUGUCUUAACACCACUGAGCUAUACACUUAAAAAUGGUUACGAUGGUGAAUUUCAUGAUAGGUGUAUUUAAAAUGAUGACAUGUGUAAUUAAAAAAUAUUGAAC